rnacentral:tRNA from 1 species
GUAUACCAACGCUUUUCAUUUUAUAGGGCUUCUGCUUCGGGAGCAAAAGGUCGCGGGUUCAAAUCCCGCCACUCCGACCA